UCGAGGGGCGCAAACUGCGCUACAAGUUGCAGGGGCGCGUGCGCACCGAGGACCCUCUGGAAGGGCUUCGCCUGAGGCGGGGCCGGGGAUUGCGGCGUUUGUCUCCUGAGGAGGCUAGACUUCUAGGGCAAGCCUGGUUUGGGGCCUGAGAUUAAUGAUAAGAUAGUAGUAAUUAAUUAUAACGGGAUACUCUUUCUUGAAUACCUUUAAUAUUUAUUGGCUUGUUUGGUCUUCACACCCCCCUUCUUGAAAGGAUUAAAGAUACUUUAUGAUCUUUUAGAAGGCUUACCCAGGACAUCCAGCUGCACAGUAAAGGUGGCUUCUCCUGCUCUAUUCUUGGCAACACAUACAUAAGCCCCUGCAUCUGAAACUCUGACCACUUCAAAGAUGAGUGAAUGAAAACCCUUCUCAGACACUAUCAUUUUGUGAAAAUCAUCUGAUUGAACCGGUCUUCCAUUUAGAUACCAUGACACAUCAGGAGCUGGCAAUCCGCUCACCUAGGAUUGAAAACACAAGGAGAUGACAGAAUUUUUAAUUAUAGCAUCACAGGAACCAAUUUGUCUAUGAAUUUUAACAAUUUCAGUACCUGAGUGCAUUUGUGAUCGAAAAUGCAAAGCAAGAGCUUAAAAAAGGUAUUUGCUUUCAAUAAUUUUUAACAAAACAGUACAAGUGAAAACUCUUGAAAUUAAUAUAGUGUUUUCAGACUAUCUUAAACCCUAUCUCGCUCUCUCAUAUGCAAUCUCAGACUCUUUAAGAUCUUUUAAUUAAGAAGUAUGGAAGUUACAUGGCUUUUCUGGUCAAUGGUGACUGCAAAUGCAGUCCCAGAAGCACAUGUAUGUGAGGCUUGCUGAUCCAAUGAAUACCUUUCCAAAACAGUGUUCUCAAGCUGUAGUUCUGGUGUAUGGGUGACAGUUUGUUAAGUGUUCUAUAUAAGCCUUAACAAUUGAAUCCAUCUAUACACUGACUUCAUAAGGAAUCUGGAAAAACAUAAGAAAAAAUUCUUCAAAAUGAGGAUGAUGAAAGUGUUGGCUUUUCUGAAAAGCUAUUCUAGCUUGAAGAACUGUUCUAGGCUGAGAGAAAGCAGUGUUGCUUGAAUUUCUUAAUGGAGAAGAAUUACAGAGGCAUUUUACUUUAGAGACCCUGUUAUGAUAGCUGCACUUAUUUAUUAGAUGGCAGACACUCUUGUGAAUACCAUAUGCCUGUUUGCUCAGUUAAUCCUCAAACAACUUGAUGAAGUAGGUACAUUUGUUAUUCUCAUUUUACAGAUGAGACAAAAGCACAGAGAGGUUAAGUGACAGAGAGGUUACGUAGCUGAAAAGUGGCAGAGCCAGGAUUCAAACCCAGUGAAUUUGCACUGUGGCUGUAGCCUGGACUCAGCAUUCAAACUCGACAAAUUGACCUCUGGUUGUAGAGCUGUCUUGAAGAUGCUGAAGAACAAACAGAGAAUUCACAGAAUGGAGGAAACUUUCACCAUACUCGCAGACAAUGAUUUGGGAUGCCAUUGUAGGUAAAAUAUUGAAAUUGAACCAGUUCUGGAACAAGGGAGCAGUGGUGGCAGAGGCCUGGACUCUGGGAGAAUGGCCUACAGUACUUUCUGCUCUCAUUCUGCACACCUGCAGUGACGGUGCUGAUGAGAGAUGUCAGGAGAACAGUUGCCUGGAGUUAAGGGCCUUACUGUCUUGGACGCAAUCAACAACUUUCAGUUGUAUU